ACAAGCGCUCGCUGUGGUUCUGGCAGCGAAGUGCGAGACUGGGCUCGCCAGGCGGAAGUGGUUGGAGACUGCGUGUUUUCCUAGAAAGUCCUCGACCUUCGUCGGGGAGAGGAGGGGAGUGAUAAAUUGGAAGGCGGACAAGCGACAAGUGCGGUACUGGAAAGACCCAAACAUACUUGGUUGUGACCUCAGAUUCUACAUAACACAUUGCAAAUGGUCACAACAAUCAAGACUAUAUCCAUAGAUGUCCCAGAAAUAAUAUCUGACUAUACAGAGCAGCAUUACCAAGCCACCAAGAAGUCUGCCUAGUAAUGACAAUGAUAACAACAGCUAACACUUAGUAAGUGCUUG
rnacentral:lncRNA from 1 species